ensembl:lncRNA
AGACAGACAGACAGACAGACAGACAUUUGUUACUGUUACCUGUUUAUAUACAUUGUGGCAGAAUGAGCAGUAAGGACCAUGGGUUCAUCAUCUGGUUCCUUCCCAAACAGAAGUGCACUCUGCAGAUUUUCAACUGUAUUCAGGAGCUGGUGGGACACCAAACUCUGGACAAGGAUUAGAGGAGGGAACGUCUAACAGAGCUGCUCAGAAUCAUCACAUAGAGACAUUGUUCGUCCUGCCUCUCUUCAUUCCCAUGGCUUCGCACUGUGACCCUCACAGUCACUGCUGACUUUGGAGGAGGAAGGCAGGAAGGUGGGAUUUGCACCUCUUGUUGGCUGAUGAGAAGAAUAAGGAGAAGUGUAAAAGGUUUCUAUGCUCUCUAGAACACGGACUUCCAUAACCUCCUCUAUGUUCUCCCAUCAAACACAUCUCUGCAAAGGGAGAAGAAACGCUGUGAAACAAUGAAAUUAGGGAAGUCG